rnacentral:misc_RNA from 1 species
AUGCGCUUCCGUUUUCUAUUUUCCUCUUUCUCCCUGUACAUAUCUAUUCUGUGCUAUGGGGCUGCUGCACGUACAGCACCAGCGCGUGGUGGAGGGAGAUGGCUACGGACUAGAGGUCUAAACUCUAGUGUGCCACGUGGCUUAUCUUCUUUCAUGUUGUUAUCACACACGCUCUUUAACUGCGGAUGGAGCUUAUUUUGACUUGUUUUAAGGGUUCAGAUUCUGACUACAAUUUUUUUUUUUUCUCUCUUAUUUUUGAGUUG